CAUCUGGUUGCUAAGGGGCUGUCUGCCUUCGGGUAGAUGAACCGACCCACCGGAUUGCGGCUAGUCGUAGGAGGACGCAGGAGGAUAGGUGAGCCCAGGCGAUGGUUGUCCUGGGGUAAGCGUGUAGGGGGAGGCCUAGGGAAAUCCGGGCCUCACAUACCCUGAGACGUGAUGCCGAGCCGCUUCAGGCGAAGUCACUGAUUCCAUGCUGCCAAGAAAAGUCCAGCGAUGAGCUGGCACGGCGCCCGUACCCCAAACCAACACAGGUGGGCAGGUAGAGAAUACCAAGGCGAUCGGGAGAACUGUGGUUAAGGAACUCGGCAAAAUGCCUCCGUAACUUCGGGAGAAGGAGGACCCCAUGAUGGUGACAGGCUUUACGCCUCGAGCUUGACGGGGUGGCACAGACCAGGGGAAAGCGACUGUUUACUAAAAACACAGCAGCGUGCGAAGUCGCAAGACGAUGUAUACGCUGUGACGCCUGCCCGGUGCCGGAAGGUUACGGGGAAGGGUUAGCCGCAAGGCGAAGCUCUGAACCUAAGCCCCGGUAAACGGCGGCCGUAACUAUAACGGUCCUAAGGUAGCGAAAUUCCUUGUCGGGUAAGUUCCGACCCGCACGAAUGGCGUAACGACUUUCCUACUGUCUCAACCACAGACCCGGCGAAAUUGAAGUACGAGUAAAGAUGCUCGUUAGCUGCAGAAGGACGGAAAGACCCCGUGGACCUUUACUAUAGUUUGGUGUUGGGUUUGGUUAUGCGUUGUGUAGGAUAGGUGGGAGACGAGGAAGCAUGCACGCUAGUGUGUGUGGAGUCACCGUUGAAAUACCACCCUGCGUAUGACUGAGCUCUAACCCGCGUCCCUUGAUCGGGAUGGGGGACAGCGCCAGAUGGGUAGUUUGACUGGGGCGGUCGCCUCCUAAAGAGUAACGGAGGCGCUCAAAGGUUCCCUCAGCCUGGUCGGCCAUCAGGCGUUGAGUGCAAUGGCACAAGGGAGCUUGACUGCGAGACAUACACGUCAAGCAGGUACGAAAGUAGGACAUAGUGAUCCGGCGGUUGCGUGUGGAAGCGCCGUCGCUCAACGGAUAAAAGGUACCCCGGGGAUAACAGGCUCAUCUUCCCCAAGAGUCCAUAUCGACGGGAAGGUUUGACACCUCGAUGUCGGCUCAUCGCAUCCUGGGGCUGAAGCAGGUCCCAAGGGUUGGGCUGUUCGCCCAUUAAAGCGGUACGCGAGCUGGGUUUAGAACGUCGUGAGACAGUUCGGUCCCUAUCCUCUGCAGCCGGAGGAAACUUGAGGAAUGCUGUCCCUAGUACGAGAGGACCGGGACGGACGUAGCUCUCGUGUGCCAGUUGUCCUGCCAAGGGCACGGCUGGUUAGCGACCUACGGAAGGGAUAAGCGCUGAAGGCAUCUAAGUGCGAAGCCUGUUCCAAGAUGAGGUUUCCCACUGGGUUAACCAGGUAAGGCCCGUGAUAGACCACCACGUUGAUAGGCCGGAGGUGUAAGCAUGGCAACAUGUUCAGCCGACCGGUACUAAUCGGCCGAGGGCUUGGAUC
rnacentral:rRNA from 1 species